rnacentral:rRNA from 1 species
AGCCACAGCCAUAUCACUCUGCAGCAAGAUCAGUUACUCACUGAAGUUAAACAGGGCUAAGCCUGCUCAGUACCUGGAUGGGAGACUACAUGGGAAAACUAGGUUGCUGUUGUGG